GGUUGUCGUCAGCUCGUGUCGUGAGAUGUUGGGUUAAGUCCCGCAACGAGCGCAACCCUUGCCUUUAGUUGCCAGCAGUUCGGCUGGGCACUCUAAAGGGACUGCCGGUGUUAAACCGGAGGAAGGUGGGGAUGACGUCAAGUCAUCAUGGCCCUUACGGCCUGGGCUACACACGUGCUACAAUGGUCGGUACAAAGGGUUGCCAAGCCGCGAGGUGGAGCUAAUCCCAUAAAACCGAUCGUAGUCCGGAUCGCAGUCUGCAACUCGACUGCGUGAAGUCGGAAUCGCUAGUAAUCGUGAAUCAGAAUGUCACGGUGAAUACGUUCCCGGGCCUU
rnacentral:rRNA from 1 species